CAGACGUGUGUGUGUGUUGUGCUUCUUGUUUCUUGCUAAUUACCACAUGGAGAUGGAACCCCUGUAGCUGACCAAAAAGGCCAGUUCAAGUUCUUCAAACAGAGCUGACCCAACAGAAGGCCUCUGGUGGCACACUGUAAUCAAGUGUGCCACUCCCACAGGAUUAUUGCAUUGGCCUUUUGCAUUCAUGCCUGAAUGCUGUCCAGGGCAUCCCACAGGCACCAGCUGCAUGACAAUGCCCCACCCCACGGAUUGUCUUAUGCCAACAGCGUACUCUCGUAGGGAACUAUAGACACUAGAAGAUGGACUGCUAAGGAAUUCUUCAGUAGCUUCAUGGUGCACUGGAGAAGAAGCAGCAGACCUGGACGAAGUCAACAAACUGCCCUUAUCAGGGCCACCAUAUGUCUGCCACAAUGGCUAGCGUUCUGCUGGUAGAAGAAACCCUGAUGGUGAUAGAAGAUCACUGAACUAACCACAAUUCAAGCAUGAUGGCUACAACAGUGCUGAUAGAAAACAAUCAUUGCAGUUGCAAAUGCCAUACAUUUCACUAAGCACUGUAUUUUUGAUGACAGUAAUAUUUAGAGUUGAAGAAGUCAUGUUCUGCCACUUUUUGGAUGGUCAAAGUAUGCAUCACAGAACAUAUUGCUAAGGUGAACAGUAUGUGGAACCGACUAUAACUCCUGUUAUUCAUUUGCACAGAAAAUAUGAAGCAGAAAAUGUCGAGGUUGUUGCGAGAGACCUGUACUAUGUCUGUUCUAUGUCUUUUGCAAAAGCUAUCACCGUUUCUCACUGCCCUUUCUCUCUGUACUGUAAAGGUAGUUCUUUUUGUGUAGUCCAAUAAUACGAGAAUUUGAAAAAAGGUCUUUGGGUACUUGACAUAAUUGUGUGCCAGUCUAUAUCAUUGAACCCCCGAGGCACUGAGGACAAAACUUUACCUAGACAGUAUAUUUGGGUCCUAAGAACGCCAUUGGAGCCACAGGGCAUAUUGACUUUACACCACAUCAUGCAGGGCCACAAGGAAAAGAAACGAUUGUAGUUACCAUAAAACUUUGGUAUAUCAUACAUAACAUUGUACACAAAAACAGGACCAACAUCGUUAUUGUGGAGCCGAAUAGUGGAUAACACCAAAAAUUGAUAGGCUUACUAGGCUAACGCCAAUAAAUGGGCGGCCUUCCAAAUAGAGUGCUGAAAGUAUGAAAAACUACUUACUUACUGUAUUUACUUACUGUAUUGCUGCCUUAGCUCACAGUUGGAAAAAUAAGUAUAGAAAAUCAAAGAGAAAGAGCUAGCUGGCAUAUUCACAGUGGGUUAUGGCUGCGGGUUUGCUAUGUUGUGUUUAAUGAGAAGUGCAGAAAUUUGGGCUAGUUGGUACAUAACUGCAGAAGGGAGAGUAUACAGACGGGACAAUGGAGGGACAGAGCUGCUUACAACUAAACUAUAAUGAUAAGAAACCCGACGCAGUCGUGUGCGCAGGUGCACUGCUAUCCCACCAUGUCAAAACAACGAGUACAGUGCUAGACAAAUGUUAGAGAACACGCUCCGGCGCAUUCCUUCCUCAGAGUGACAGCAAAUGGGACCGUACAGACUUAGACAUGUGCGUAUAGGUAGCCCAGUCACCUGUAUGCAAGUCCGUACGAUACCAUUCGCUGCCAGCUUGUCACUCGGAGGGAGGAGUGUGCCAGAGCAUGUUCCAUAAACUUUUGUCCAGCACUUUACAAGUAUAAAACUGAUUAACAAUGUAGAGUGGGCUAGUUGGUAUGACAUCUUAGACUAUGGAGCUACAGCAGACAAGGACAAUACACCACUCCAUAAUCAACUGGUUUAUUUCUGGAAAAGGAAAAUUGAGCGUUGGGAUUGGGGGUUUUGAGACGAACUGAUUAAAAAGGAACUUUACACCUAGUGGUGAUCUUUUCCUGGUGUCCUUGUCUGCCAUAGCUCCGUAGUCGAAGUCUGUACAAGUAUGUCAGACAAGACCCUCAAAAUGACAUUUUUAGGCAUGUGCAAACAAAACCACCGUAGUGAUAAGGGGUGACACAAGUGAAAAAAAUGCCUAUGAUUUGAAUAAAAAUUCAAGUUUCUUAUCCACCAGACAAAUAGAAGCUUCAGUAGUACAACUGGAAGAGCCACUUCGACUACCUCUCUUUCGAACUGACAGUUUGCUUUUCUUUUUGGCUGAGUUCUUUCAAAAGCCGGGUUUUAAUGUCACUAUUUGAUAUAGUAUAAGAAUUAGGAUGGACAGAAGAUCGACUCAAUCCUCGCAUUAGCUACGUUGUGCUAGUGUACCAUACCGCACGCGAAUACCAGGUUGCCGUGUCCGUAAUUUUGUGAGGUUCGAGAGCCACAAGAACUGCUCGCAUGCAGUGUAUUCUACCUAACAUGGACAGCGCAGCAGCAGUACUGGGGCCAGGCUGAAAACAAUGCCUGAAAAUCGGUUCUCCUAAUUCGUCUUUAAAUUUCGAGAGGGUAGCUUCGUUCUCUUUGGUGGCCGAGAGGCCGCGUGUUUGAGAUCCCUGUAGAUAGGGCAAUCGCUUUCGAAACAAGGAUCAGAAACAUAACGCUGUCCUAUAUCUGCGCAAAAGCACCAUAGCUCAUGCACAAAGCAAGUCUUCCAAAGACAUGAACGGGUUUUUCCGGGGAACCACCACCGUGGGAAAACAGACACAAGUGCAGGUGGUAAAUGUGAAUCACGUGUCGCCCCCAAGAUUCUUCUAGAAUUUCUUUGACAGAUGUUCAAAAUUUAGUUUGCAGUUUAUUGAGUUUAUAUACGUAUAUCCAACACCGCAGGUCCCGUGAUUUCUGUCCUUUUUUCUUUCUUUCUUUUGUUUAUGAUUCAUUUGCUACAGCAAUUCACAUAUAACAUCGACUUAGUGAAAGUACACUUUAUGUAGUAAUUGUAAUUUUUAAUGCUUUUCAUAUCUUAGGGCUCCUCUUUGUUCGGUUUUUCGAUAGUUCUGUCUUCCGACUUUCCAGCUUUCUGAUAGUUCGGUCUCAUGAUUUUCGGCAUUAUAUGAUUGCCACUGCUCUUGGGCCCCGGAUCCCGACAGCCUCGAAAUACCCUUAUCUCGUGACCACUUCUCCUUCCAACUGGUUACAAAAAGUGAAGUGUCCAUAACCAAAGUAUAUUGAUAUGCAGAUUAAGUAGAAAGGAAGAGGGGCAGAUGAAAAUGACAAAAACAUAAGAGAAGGCGACAAAUUGUCUUCGAUCAAGGAUACUUCUUUAUUGAUACUAAGGUCACAAAAUGAUCACGAUGAUCGGGUAUGUUUAGGGUAAAUCGUGCAACACAGUCUCCAAAGAAAAUGACAAAAAUAUAGGAUAGAGAGGUAGCAAGCGAGCUGGUGGUAUAGAUCCAUAACACAGACAAGCUUGUCGUUUUUUGUCCCCCAGUCUCGGGUUUUUAAUUUAGAGAUAACCAUAUAUAAAGUAAUUGAACCUCUGUAUGCAAUAAGCAAGCCAUGCAUGUAAUGCAAUCCCCUUUCGUGUAUUUUUGCUGCAAUGACGUCCACAUACCAACAUGUACCUGCCAUAGAAAAUUUAGGACCGUAUUGCAAUUUAUUGACCUGUUACAGGAGGGUAAGAAACGAGAAAUGUAUGUGUGUUAAUAGGAUGGGCAGCCAGGUCUUGCCCCUUUUCUACACACGCAUACAAAUGAUAGCUUAAAUUGAACUGCGGCUUCCACUCGAAAAACACGUUCUUCCUAACUAACACGACUGUGUCGGCAGUGAUACUGAGAGUUGUAAUCGAAAAGAAAUAAGAAAAAAAAAAAUGUGAGCACUAAGCUAAUAAGUCAUACUAUGCUGGUCACCUACGAUAUAUUUUCAAGAUUGUGCUCGUUUAGCAGCACGAUACGCUCGACCUAGACUGCUCUGCAACGCACAGGUGACUUCACCCUACCUGGUUCUUCAGCAAUCAAAGUACGACUUGUGAAAGCUGCUUGUAUUUGCGCGAUAACCCUGUGUGCAUGCGGUGUUACAUUGGAAAAUGAUGUAUCAUGCUCACGGACAAUUUCUGCUAACUCACAGACCCAAAAAACACAAACAUAUAUGUUACACAUUUUCCAUUGCAUUAGUCGAGGUAACCCGGCUGCAAUUACUUUACCAAAUACUCGAAGUUUUUUCGGUUUGGGAUUUUUCGACUUAUCCCCUUCUUGCAUACAGGGGUUCAAUCGUCAACUGAAGGGAAACUAAACUAACACUCUACCGAACGCUAAUUCUUCCUAAAUUAGAGUAUGCCGCUUCGGUGUGGGAUCCAGGGCAACAGUCACUCAUUCACCAACUGGAAAUGGUUCAGAACCGUGCUGCACGGUUUAUUCUCGGAAAUUAUAGUCGUACAGCCAGUGUCACUGCGAUGAAAUCAGCCCUUAACCUAUCUUCCUUGACUGUUCGCCGCCAGUUUGCUCGACUCUGUCUGUUCCAUAAGAUAUAUUACUACAACGAAACGCUAAAACUCCAUUUAAUUGCACAUCCAUCAUACGUCUCAUCAAGGCUUGAUCAUCGCCAGAAAGUUGGUGUCCCAUCCUGCACUACUAAAACGUGUUUUGACUCAUUUUUACCUAAAACCUCACUGGAAUGGAAUCAUCUCCCGGAUCACCUUACCUCCAUCACUGACGGUAGACAGUUCAGAAAACUGCUUCACGACCACUUGAAUGCAGCGUAAGAUUAUUUAAGCUUUACAUAUACUAAUCUGAUUGUCCACCAGUGAUACUAUCUAUGCUCGUGUUUUUGGUUCGUUGUGUUGUUUUUAUUAUUAUUAUUAUUAUUAUUAUUAUUAUUAUUAUUAUUAUUAUUUUAUUGUAUUCCACAUUGUUCCUG